rnacentral:rRNA from 1 species
UACGUAGGUGACAAGCGUUGUCCGGAUUUACUGGGCGUAAAGAGCGCGCAGGCGGUCGAUCAAGUCGAGUGUGAAAGCCCCCGGCUCAACUGGGGAGGGUCAUUCGAUACUGAUCGACUCGAAGGCAGGAGAGGGUAGUGGAAUUCCCGGUGUAGUGGUGAAAUGCGUAGAUAUCGGGAGGAACACCAGUGGCGAAGGCGACUACCUGGCCCAAUACUGACACUCAGGUGCGACAGCGUGGGGAGCAAACAGG